AGCGAACGUUGGCGGCAUGCUUAACACAUGCAAGUCGCACGGAUCUUUCGGGAUCAGUGGCGGACGGGUGAGUAACGCGUAGGGAUCUAUCCAUGGGUGGGGGACAACUCCGGGAAACUGGAGCUAAUACCGCAUGAUACCUGAGGGUCAAAGGCGCAAGUCGCCUGUGGAGGAACCUGCGUUCGAUUAGCUAGUUGGUGGGGUAAAGGCCUACCAAGGCGAUGAUCGAUAGCUGGUUUGAGAGGAUGAUCAGCCACACUGGGACUGAGACACGGCCCAGACUCCUACGGGAGGCAGCAGUGGGGAAUAUUGGACAAUGGGCGAAAGCCUGAUCCAGCAAUGCCGCGUGUGUGAAGAAGGUCUUCGGAUUGUAAAGCACUUUCGACGGGGACGAUGAUGACGGUACCCGUAGAAGAAGCCCCGGCUAACUUCGUG
rnacentral:rRNA from 1 species